rnacentral:rRNA from 1 species
CCUACGGGAGGCAGCAGUGGGGAAUAUUGGGCAAUGGAGGGAACUCUGACCCAGCGACGCCGCGUGCGGGAUGAAGGCCUUCGGGUUGUAAACCGCUUUCAGCAAGGAAGAAGCGAAAGUGACGGUACUUGCAGAAGAAGCACCGGCUAACUAUGUGCCAGCAGCCGCGGUAAUACAUAGGGUGCAAGCGUUGUCCGGAAUUAUUGGGCGUAAAGAGCUCGUAGGUGGUUCGUCACGUCGGAUGUGAAAAUCUGGGGCUUAACCCCAGACCUGCAUUCGAUACGGGCGAGCUAGAGUGUGGUAGGGGAGACUGGAAUUCCUGGUGUAGCGGUGGAAUGCGCAGAUAUCAGGAGGAACACCAAUGGCGAAGGCAGGUCUCUGGGCCAUUACUGACACUGAGGAGCGAAAGCGUGGGGAGCGAACAGGAUUAGAUACCCUGGUAGUCCACGCCGUAAACGGUGGGCACUAGUUGUGGGAACCUUCCACGGUUUCUGCGACGCAGCUAACGCAUUAAGUGCCCCGCCUGGGGAGUACGAUCGCAAGAUUAAAACUCAAAUGAAUUGACGG